rnacentral:rRNA from 1 species
AAUUUUGGACAAUGGGGGAAACCCUGAUCCAGCCAUCCCGCGUGUAUGAUGAAGGCCUUCGGGUUGUAAAGUACUUUUGGCUGAGAAGAAAAGGUACCUCCUAAUACGAGGUACUGCUGACGGUAUCUGCAGCAUAAGCACCGGCUAACUACGUGCCAGCAGCAGCGGUAGUACGUAGGAGGCAAGCGUUAAUCGGAAUUACUGGGCGUAAAGAGUGUGUAGGAGGUUCGGAAAGAAAGAUGAGGAAACACAGGGCGGAACAUUGGAACUGCAUUUUUAACUGCCGAGCUAGAGGAUGUCAGAAGGGGGUAGAAUUCCACGUGUAGCAGUGAAAUGCGUAGAUAUGUGGAGGAAUACCGAUGGCGAAGGCAGCCCCCUGGGAUAAUACUGACGCUCAGACACGAAAGCGUGGGGAGCAAACA